rnacentral:rRNA from 1 species
CAGCAGCCGCCGCGGGAAUACGUAGGUGGCAAGCGUUGUCCGGAAUUAUUGGGCGUAAGGGGCUCGCAGGCGGUUUCUUAAGUCUGAUGUGAAAGCCCCCGGCUCAACCAGGGAGGGUCAUUGGAAACUGGGAAACUUGAGUGCAGAAGAGGAGAGUGGAAUUCCACGUGUAGCAGUGAAAUGCGUAGAGAUGUGGAGGAACACCAGUGGCGAAGGCGACUCUCUGGUCUGUAACUGACGCUGAGGAGCGAAAGCGUGGGGAGCGAACAGGAUUAGAUACCCCUGUAGUCCCUGUCUCUUAUAC